UCAGGUGGUUAUAGUAUUGGGGUUCCACCUCUUCCCAUUCCGAACAGAGAAGUUAAGCCCAAUCACGCCGAUGGUACUGCAGUUAUGUGGGAGAGUAGGUAACCGCCGGUU
rnacentral:rRNA from 1 species